rnacentral:rRNA from 1 species
GAUGAACGCUAGCGGCAGGCCUAACACAUGCAAGUCGAGGGAGAGGUUACCUUCGGGUAACCAAAACCGGCGCACGGGUGCGUAACGCGUAUACAAUCUGCCUUUCACAUAGGGAUAGCCCGAAGAAAUUUGGAUUAAUACCUAAUGGUAUAUAAGAGCGGCAUCGUUUUUAUAUUAAAGCUACGGUGGUGAAAGAUGAGUAUGCGUUCUAUUAGCUAGUUGGAGAGGUAACGGCUCCCCAAGGCGACGAUAGAUAGGGGUUCUGAGAGGGAUGUCCCCCACACUGGUACUGAGAUACGGACCAGACUCCUACGGGAGGCAGCAGUGAGGAAUAUUGGACAAUGGUCGGAAGACUGAUCCAGCCAUGCCGCGUGCAGAAUGAAGGUCCUAUGGAUUGUAAGCUGCUUUUGUAAGGGAAGAAUAAGGAGUACGUGUACUUUGAUGACGGUACCUUACGAAUAAGCAUCGGCUAACUCCGUG